rnacentral:RNase_P_RNA from 1 species
GGAGUCGGCCAGACAGUCGCGUCACUCGUAAGAGUGCCGAGGAAAGUCCGGGCUCCAUAGGGCAAGGUGCCAGGUAACGCCUGGGCGGCGCAAGCCGACGGAAAGUGCAACAGAAAGAUACCGCCUACGUCCCUCGUCACCCCUCCUCUGCCGCCACUGGAACGUGCCAGCGAUGCAUCGCAUCGCCAAGUGCGCUCGGAGGCCGCAGAGGGGUGGCGAGGGGCCGGUAAGGGUGAAAUGGUGCGGUAAGAGCGCACCGCGAGUCCGGUAACGGACCGGCACGGCAAACCCCACCUGGAGCAAGACCAAAUAGGGAUCCAUUGGCGUGGCCCGCGCUGGAUCCGGGUAGGUUGCUUGAGCGCUGCGGUGACGUAGCGCCUAGACGAAUGACUGUCCACGACAGAACCCGGCUUAUCGGCCGGCUUCGCCG